AAACCAGCACCUCAAGUGGUCAGGAUGAUUAUUGGGCCUAAAGCAUCCGUAGCCUGCUCUGUAAGUUUUCGGUUAAAUCUGUACGCUUAACGUACAGGCUGUCGGGAAUACUGCAGAGCCAGGGAGUGGGAGAGUUAGACGGUACUCGGGAGGAAGUGGUAAAAUGCUUUGAUCUCUCGAUGACCACCUGUGGCGAAGGCGGUCUACCAGAACACGUCCGGCGGUGAGGGAUGAAAGCUGGGGGAGCACACCGGAUUAGAAACCCUGGUAGUCC
rnacentral:rRNA from 1 species